AUUGAACGCUGGCGGCAGGCCUGACACAUGCAAGUCGAACGGUAACAGGAAGAAGCUUGCUUCUUUGCUGACGAGUGGCGGACGGGUGAGUAAUGUCUGGGAAACUGCCUGAUGGAGGGGGAUAACUACUGGAAACGGUAGCUAAUACCGCAUAACGUCGCAAGACCAAAGAGGGGGACCUUCGGGCCUCUUGCCAUCGGAUGUGCCCAGAUGGGAUUAGCUAGUAGGUGGGGUAACGGCUCACCUAGGCGACGAUCCCUAGCUGGUCUGAGAGGAUGACCAGCCACACUGGAACUGAGACACGGUCCAGACUCCUACGGGAGGCAGCAGUGGGGAAUAUUGCACAAUGGGCGCAAGCCUGAUGCAGCCAUGCCGCGUGUAUGAAGAAGGCCUUCGGGUUGUAAAGUACUUUCAGCGGGGAGGAAGGGAGUAAAGUUAAUACCUUUACUCAUUGACGUUACCCGCAGAAGAAGCACCGGCUAACUCCGUG
rnacentral:rRNA from 1 species